UGUUACUAACCAAAAUGAAAAGCUCCAAAUUAAGUGCUUCUUUCUACACGCUGCAGGGAAGUGUAUUCAUGCGGCAGGCAAAGAAAUUUCCAACUACUAACCACCACUCAAAGAAGCAUGCUAAAAAUAGCACCCACACCCUCUGGCUGUAAGAACUUGUUCAGAAGAUGAGAAGGGGUUAACCAUAAGGAAAGAUCCUUGAAAUGAUGAAACAACAUGAAAAAGACAAAUAUAUUGAUACACAUACACAUCUUGGAAAAACCCUUGCCAACGAUGUUUUCAUUGGAAUUCCUUAAAUUAUGGAAACAUAACCUCAAAUGGGGAUGUUUAUUAAAGGUUUAUGGAACCUCUACUUACCUGUGGCUUGCAGUUGAAUUCUAAAUGAUGCUAGAAGUAUCAAAUCCAAAAGAAAAGCCCAUGUGGAAAAAAGGUGGCAUUUAGGAGUCAGGAAGCCCACACUACAAGGAAAUCCCAGUGCUGCAGUUGAGAAUAAAUAAUUUCAUUAAGUCUUUCUGCUGGAAUGGGUCCUGUAGAAAAUUUGGAGCACAGUGAGUAUUUAAAACUUACAUUAUGCCUUUUUCUCUGCCAUUUCACACA